rnacentral:misc_RNA from 1 species
GGUGGCUUCCUGCUAUCUGUUUGGAUGGAGAAAAACUGUAAUUAUGUUCCCCCUAUUAUGGCCGAGAUGCAGGUCCUAAGGUAAUUUGCUGUAGUACUACACAUAUGAUAUUAUGAUUCCUCAGUGCACGUCUCGUACUGUCUGUGUUAUUUGCUUUUUUUUUUUUUGGAGAGAAUUGCAUUGUUGAUUUUAUUUAAAUGUGCUUUAUUGUUUUGGGCCUGGAUAAUUGAUUUGCAGUUGCUGGAAUAUUAAUUCUGUUGAUCAUAAAUUAGUUCACCAUGCAAAGAAAGAGGAAAAAGAUGUGGGAGUUGGAAUUUGGUGUUUGGACUUUAGUUGGUGUCAAUUUUUGUUUUCCUUUAGCAGUGUUUUAUCACUUUUCAAAUCUUGUUGGGAGUAUGGAAGAACAUGAAUAAUUAAAGGCUUCGUCCUGUGGUUUAAAGAGCAAUGAUCAUUCACAGUAAGCCCUGCCCACAGCUUUGUUAGAAAGCAAAUUUGCAGCCAAAAAUUUCCUGCUUCUGUUCUGGCGCAGUUGUUUAUCCAUCUAGAAUUUGUCGUUAUGUUUUCUUCUUUUCCCAAUUGUUUAAUCUCCCCAUUCUCGAAUGGAACCCUUCAAAGGAGGCAAGGCAUGAAUUUCCGGCCAAGGGACAAAAAGCGUGAGAGCCCCCUCCCUUAUUUUCUGCAUUUUAUAUUUCACCUUGACCCCAAAAAAAGGAGAAAUUGGCAACAUAAUAUAAUAUAAUUAUCCGAGAGAGAGAAAGACACACGCAGAAGGGACAUGUCAGGAAGCGAGAAAGAAGAAUUGCUAAAGAUGCGUUCAUCACCAACUCCAUUGCUUUCAAUGUGAACUGAAUCAGACAAAAGCUUUUCUUCUUCACUGGGGCAAAUCAAAGGGGGCUGCUUUUGAAAUUAAAGCUAAGACCGGGAAUCUCAGUCCUUCCUACAGUUUUAAGUCACUCUUCUCCAUCAUUCUUUCAAAACUGGAAUGGUUAGUCAUUACUAUAACAACUAGAUACUACUCCAUCUCUCUUUCUUUCUCUACAUAUGAUAUGCAACCGGAACUAGAGGGAAACCACUUUGAAUUAUAAAAAUAAUAUAAAUAAUUAAAAAUGCAAAGAUAUACUACAACCCUAUAUGUAAAAAAAGAAGCUUCCAUUCCUUUUGUCCAUUAUAAUUUAUAAAUAGAACCAAGAAGUUGCCGUUUCAUGUUCAUGUCCAAAGAGGAACAGCUUGGUUGGCACUGCCUACUACAGUUACUGUCCCUCAAAUCUUAACCCUUCUCCAACCCAGAAGUUUAAGUUUCUUCUUUGUUCAAUUUUCCUCCUUUAAGGGUUUUCACAAAAGAUUUUAAGGCUAUAAUAGCUGUAGUAAUGAACAGGAACCGAGGGAGAGAAAAACAAAAGGAGAACAAAAUGAAAAAUAAAAAAUAAAAAAGAAAGAAAUAAAAAAUA